rnacentral:misc_RNA from 1 species
GAAAAGGGGAGUCCAUCCCAAAUCAUUAAAAGAAAGAAAGAAAGAAAAUAUUUAAAAAUGGAGGACGGCGUCAUCAUGAUAAGCCAAGCGUAGGUGCAGCGAAUGAAAAAGUCGCAGCUUUGACUUUGAAACGGGGAACAAUUUUAUAUAACUCCUUAGGCUUGAAAUGAAAAAGUUAAUGUCAAACACAUCGUUGUAGGGGUGCCGGCCGGUGAUUGAUGUGGGUGAGAUGAUCAAUAUGGG